rnacentral:rRNA from 1 species
AAUCUUACGGGAGGCAGCAGUGCGGAAUCCUGCACAAUGGGCGAAAGCCUGAUGCCGCCAUGCCGCGUGAGCGAUGAAGGCCUUAGGAUUGUAAAGCUCUUCAGCGGGGAAGAUAAUGACGGUACCUCAGAAGAAGCUGGCUACUUUG